UACAGAGGGGGCAAGCGUUAUUCGGAAUUAUUGGGCGUAAAGGGCGCGUAGGCGGCUUUUCAAGUGACGGGUGAAAUCCCCAGGCUUAACCUGGGAACUGCGUCGGAUACUGGAUGGCUUGAAUCCGGGAGAGGGAUGCGGAAUUCCAGGUGUAGCGGUGAAAUGCGUAGAUAUCUGGAGGAACACCGGUGGCGAAGGCGGCAUCCUGGACCGGCAUUGACGCUAAAGCGCGAAAGCCAGGGGAGCAAAGC
rnacentral:rRNA from 1 species